rnacentral:snoRNA from 2 species
CUGCAUGGUGCUAACCCCGGGCUUGUCGGAUUUACUACUUGAAGAAGGAAGCCCCAAUGCCUGUGCUAGAUCCACCAUGCCAUUCAGUGUUGCAGGCCCUGAUGAAUCUUGUGAUUGGUCUGUGUCAAAGCAAUGGAUACAUAU